AAUGAACGCUGGCGGCGUGCCUAACACAUGCAAGUCGAGCGAGAAAGUUCCCUUCGGGGAGCGAGUACAGCGGCGCACGGGUGAGUAACGCGUGGGUAACCUACCCAGGAGUGGGGUAUAACUCGCCGAAAGGCGGGCUAAUCCCGCAUACGUCCAGCAGACAUAUGUCUGCUGGAGAAAGAUGGCCUCUGCUUGCAAGCUAUUGCUCUUGGACGGGCCCGCGUUAGAUUAGCUAGUUGGUGAGGUAACUGCUCACCAAGGCUACGAUCUAUAGCUGGUUUGAGAGGACGACCAGCCACACUGGAACCGAGACACGGUCCAGACUCCUACGGGAGGCAGCAGUGAGGAAUAUUGCGCAAUGGGGGAAACCCUGACGCAGCAACGCCGCGUGAGUGAUGAAGGCCUUCGGGUUGUAAAGCUCUUUUAGUGGGGAAGAAGCCCUGCAGGGAUAAUACCCCUGCGGUCUGACGGUACCCACAGAAAAAGUUCCGGCUAACUACGUGCCAGCCGCCGCGGUAAAAC
rnacentral:rRNA from 1 species